rnacentral:rRNA from 1 species
AUUGAACGCUGGCGGCAUGCCUUACACAUGCAAGUCGAACGGUAACAGGUCUUCGGAUGCUGACGAGUGGCGAACGGGUGAGUAAUACAUCGGAACGUGCCUAGUAGUGGGGGAUAACUACUCGAAAGAGUGGCUAAUACCGCCUGAGAUCUACGGAUGAAAACAGGGGCUCGCAAGACCUUGUGCUACUCGAGCCGUCGAUGGCCGAUUAGGUAGUUGGUGGGAUAAAAGCUUACCAAGCCGACGAUCUGUAGCUGGUCUGAGAGGACGAUCAGCCACACUGGGACUGAGACACGGCCCAGACUCCUACGGGAGGCAGCAGUGGGGAAUUUUGGACAAUGGGCGCAAGCCUGAUCCAGCAAUGCCGCGUGCAGGAUGAAGGCCUUCGGGUUGUAAACUGCUUUUGUACGGAACGAAAAGCCCUGGGUUAAUACCCUGGGGUCAUGACGGUACCGUAAGAAUAAGCACCGGCUAACUACGUGCCAGCAGCCGCAGUAA